ensembl:snoRNA
CUGAGCUAGUGAUGAUACAAGUUAUCCCUGUCUGAAAUUGAGCUUUCUUCUGUGGAAGGUUAACUCUGAGGCUCAG